rnacentral:ncRNA from 20 species
UGUAUUCUUCGGGGCAGGGUGUAAUUCCCGACCGGCGGUGACAAGUCAUCAGAACUUGAAGUCCGUGACCCGCUUUUAUGCGGUGGAUCUAGUGAGAAUCUAGAGCCGACAGUAAUAGUCUGGAUGGGAGAAGAAUAGC